AGAUGUGAGGACGAUCAGGCUGUGACAUCUGUCACCCCACUGGUCGCCAGGGUUGAUUCGGCUGAUCUGGCUGGCUAGGUGGGUGUCUCCUUCCUCUCUUACCUCUCCAUGUGCGUCCCUCCUGAACCUGCGUGCUCACUCUAAGAGGAAGGCCUUCUCUGAAUAGAGACGGACAAGUCUUCAGUCAAGGGUUUAGCUGUGCUCCCCUGCUAGAACCUCCAAACAAGCUCUCAAAGUACAAAAUUUAGGGUGAUUUUGUUCUGUAGCAAUGUGUGCAAAUCUGUAUGAUCUGUUCUCCUGCUCUGAAGAUGCGAGAUGAA
ensembl:misc_RNA 7SK 7SK RNA